rnacentral:SRP_RNA from 1 species
UCAAAGAAGAAUUUAGCAGAUACAAUGGAACAUGACUAUCGUCCCAGGAGUCCUGGGCUAUGGAGAACUAUGCUGAUCAGGUGUCUACACUAAAUUCAGCAUCAAUAUGGUGACCUCGUGGAAAGCUGGAGGACCACCAGUUUGUCUCAGGAGGCGUGAAAUGGUCUGGCUUGGAAAUGGAGCGGAACAAAACUCCCAUACUGAUCAGUAGUGGGAUUGUGCUUGUGGAUAGCAACAGCAAAUCCAGGCGAUGUAGCAAGACCUCAU